CAAAUCGGUGGGUGGUUGGGGGAAGUGGAGGGAGGGGAAAGUGUGGCUUGUGCCGUGCGGUUUUGCUGCGUGCUCCUGUCCUCUGCUCUGCCUGCCACCGACAUUUGGUCGGGAUGCUCGUCCCGGAUCAUAUUCACGCUUGUGCUGUUUGACAGAGUAACAACAACCGUAAUGUUGA
rnacentral:misc_RNA from 1 species